ACGGGCCUGGGAACGACGACCCCUCGCACGAAAGAAACCUCACGACCGAGGCUACCCUCAUCUAUUCGCUACAACGACGGCAGCCAUGCCGCCGCCGCCACCGCGAUCCCUGAAACGCCGCCGAUCUAUUCGCUACAUCGACGGAAACCAGGCGCUAGCCACGGAUCCCUUUGCCGGCGCCGAGCAGUCAUCGAGGAGUCGGCGCCGAUGUCCUAAAGGAGGCGCCGCCACCAUCGUUGCAGGCCUCCAGGUCGCCAUCGGGACACCGCCGCCGAGAUCCGCCUUCGCCUUCGUCCGGCAGAGGCGGCGGAAGGCAGCCGGGAGGGGAAGCGCACAACGACCCGGAAGACAUCCGCCCUCACGCGCUCAUCGUCUUGCUCGAUCUACCCGAGGGCUGCCGAUGGGCGCCUCGGCGGCGGCCACGGCGAGAUCUGCGUUUGGGACGUGACAAUCCCUCCACCCCGGUCGCCGGUGAGAUUUCACUGCCUUGAUCCUCCCGGUCCCAGUUUAUCAGGUCGUCCCUGACAAAGAGAUGCUACUGCCGGGCACGUGCACGCACGUGGGGCGGCCGCCUGCGAGCGGGGCCGCGUCCUCUCUCCUUCGUCGACCAUGGCCUCCGAACCACUCCGUUGAGCGGUACCUCUGCGCCCAAGUGUCCGCUCCUCGAUCUUCAACAGAUUUGUUAUCUCCUCUCUUCCGUUGCAGGUCAAUCCCAAUUUGAUUUCUUAUCUGCUAUAUUGCAUUUGUUCUCCCAAAUGGGUCAGCGUGCCUUCUGUGUCAAAAUUUGGAGAUGUAGUUCUGAAAACCAGUGAACAAGGAGAAAUUUGGAGAUGUAGUUCUAAAAACCAGUGAACAAGAAGCACAUGGGAGCCGCUCAAUGCUCUACUAUUGAAAGUUGGUGUGGUUGUUUGUCAGUAAAACUUAUCUGUAGUCAAGUCAUACCCAGCCCGUUGACCAUCAUCCGAAUGCUUCUGAUAAUAACCAAGUGUUUUCUAUUGAAUAUGUUACAAUCCAUUCUGAAGCAAACUGAGUUACUAGCAGUUUAAGAAGAUGUUAUACACCUGACUGACGAAGAUCUCUUUUAUAUCCACAAGGCAUUUCAUGACGAUCCAAGUAUAUUGCUGAUCAAAUAGAAAAUAUGUAAUUUUCUGUUUCGGUAAUAAACGGGCAAUUCAACGUAUAGUUGGGGCAGCCUGAUUUCCUCUUACACAUGCCUGCUAGCAGCAGCAGUUACGACCAGGCGGUUGCGGCCUGACUUGGCGGCUCUUCCUUUUUGUUUUGUGUUUGAAUCAGAUUUGGCGGUCUCGAUUUUACAGGCAUGUGUUGAUCUUGGUCUUGUUCUGUAUGCAGGUAGGGUACACUUGAUGUUUCAUGUUUGGUGAAAGAAAAGGAGCUUCCUAUGUUGAUUUCGGGCAAGACAUACAUUCUGCCAUGCAUUAGUAGAUCAAUUGCUUCUCUGUGUAGGGGAACGAUUAGCGAUUGAAUCUCUCUGUCUCGUUUCUUGAUUAUCCAAUUAAUUUACCCUCAUCUAUGCAUAAAUUGGUCCGAUUGAGUUAUGCCAUUUUUCUAAUAAUCUAUAUUGGUUCUAUAUAUGACUAGAACAAUAUGAUACGAUGCACAUCGGUCCGCUUUACUGGCAGCUAUCUUUCAAGAUGGAGGGGAGGCACUCGUGUGGACCUGCUCAAUGUUCGAGGAGAUACGGCUGACUAAACAAGGAGGUGCUUAUAAAAUGAUGGUUGAACAUGUACAGAUUUUGGAUCACGAUCAUCUAUUUACCAGGCAUCAGUUAACUCAAGGCAUCGAUCAAAAUCUAGCAUUCUUUGUUGUGUGCACCAUGGAGAAGACAAAGAACAGAGAUUGUGUGAUAUAUCCGAUAGCGCAAUAUAAUUUUCUCUUGCAUAUUUAUAAUCUGCCAUUUGAAUGAUGUUUUCUAUGUUGUAGUCAAAUCAAGACAAUUUGCAACUUUGGUGUUGUGACGUUGGAGGCCGUGCUCAACAGCAAUGGGGGACUGUUCGUUGAUGCCCGACCCAUGAUGCCGGCGAAGGAAUGAGAGUCGACGAGGAGUGGACACCAUGGGUUUGUGAACUGGCGAAGCCUCCGUUGUCCGUUUGGUAAUGUCCGACGCAUCAGAGGCAUAGUAUGACUUGCCCCGAUUAUGAUGUCGUCUACAAACAUCCGACGGAGGGGAGCCCCCGUCCCAGUUUCCAUCUUGAUGUUUCAGUUGUUGAGCUCUGCACUAUAAAACCGAGAAAUACCCAAGGCUUUUUACAGGAUCAUGUCUACAGACUACAAAUAGAGGGAAGUUUGCAUGUGCCUUACUAGAGACAGAUGAACCAAUAAAAUGAUUGGAAAGGUUCUUCCCAAGCAAAAGAUUACCUAUGAUGAAAAUUACAUUCUCUGCGGGCGCUGAUUCAGAUAUAUUACUAUGGGCAAAGGAAGUUCAAAAUUUAUCUCAAUCAAACAUGUGCAAAGGAAAAUUCAAAAUUUGUUAUGUCAGGAAAAGAUUCUUAAACCAGUGAAGUAUCUAGAGGGCUUAUUAGGACACUGCUCAUAUUGUUUGAUACUUUACCAUCUGGGGAUUAGGCUACCGGUGAACACGACAAUGCGGCUGUUGGUCACGGAUGCCGGGGGCGUGAGCGGGGUUGAGGAGCUCACAUGGUGCUAUACAUGACGACCUGCGAGUGGUGGCAGGAGGUGGCAUGCCUGCUGCUUGGCUGGAAGUCCGACAUGAACUCCCACGACCGAGUGUAAGCAUGGUUGUGAAGACCUUCCAGCAUUACCCCAGGAAGCUAACACAUCAGCUUGUGCCAUACGUGGUGUUUUCUUGUUGAUGAAUGUUGGUCUAGGUAAUUUCUUUGAUGAACCAUGUGACAAUUAAUAAAGUUAAUAAAGGACAGCAUACUCUUUUUGUCCGCCUUGAUCGCAGUGGGGCGGGGGUGAGGCGUUGGAGAGAGGCGGGGCAGUGGUGCAUGCGUGCAGUGCGUCUGGACGACAGAAUGCAUGAUCGAGUGAUCGGUGUGGUAGUUGGCGGUGCUUGGGCAUUGAUGUUCGAUUUUAGAGGAAGAAGAAAGAUUAGCUGCUGAUUUUGGGGGGAAGAAGAGAGAUUGAGCGUGUUGUUGUUGUCGUGUGUGGUCUUGGGAGAGGAAUAAAAGAGAGUAGUAAAGAGCUGUAGAGAGAUAGCGAGGGAUUGAGAGGCUACUACUAUUUUUUAUUGUUGUCGAUGCUUGCACAAUGCUAUUUCUUAUUAUACUGGGGUAUUCAUCUUUGGACUAAAAA